AACCAACGAGGGAUGCGUAUGCAAAUGCGAGCUUCUCUUCUCUCCAAGCUCCGUUGCCGUUCCCUCUUCGUAGCUGCAAUUGUCAAACUCUUCACCACCAGGAAGAGGUAACAGCAGCCCACACUGCGUCGUUAACCGUUUUCCCCGCGCUUCCUUCUUUUUUCGCAUCGUUUUGCUACUAUAUCUAUAGUUAACACAGCUUCGAUUUUUUUUCUCAGCGUUGCCAACGCGCUUCUGUCUGUUAGGGUUUGGGUUUUGGAAGAGCAUGGUGAGGGUUCGGGUGAGUAACACGGAAGAAUUUUCCGUAGCGGAGAAAGGUGGUUACAGUGAUUCACAGUUUGUUAGUCACUUCAAAGGUGUAGUUGUUGCAGUCACAACGGAUGAGUUCUGUUGCUUAUCUUGCUAGUUAUCUGUGUCGUGCUAAGUUCCUUCCCGCUGCAUUGGUCACUACGAUCAUUCACAGCUUGGUUGAUUGGUGCUAUGCUUAUUGCAAAUUACGUGAUUUUGAUAUGAACCCACGAGCACAUCAAGUUUUUUAUUCAGGUUGCCAGGUGAGUCUUAUCACAUUUGACCUUUUGUUGGGAGGGCUGUAAAGGUGAUGCCUUUUCAUGUUAUAGCCACUAUCAUUUUCUUCCAAGUAUUCUUAACUUGCUCAUUAUGUCUUUUUUGGUGUAGCAGGCCAUUAUGUAUAUUCUGUGUUUUCGCUUUAGAUCUUCAAUGGACAUUCGUAGGCUUAAAUUGCAACUACUUAAUAUACCCAUGGAUAAAAUCUGGAAACAUAAAUUGAGUCCAUUAAAUGUGAGGGACUUGUUAGUUUUCAUGCUCAGGGUUUUUAAUGAUAAAUGUCGGGUUUUGUGUAUAAAAUGAUCAGGAAAAACUUAAUCUCUUUUUGGUAAAUUUCUCUAUAUACAUUUGUACAAGUAGUGAUGGAAUACCCCUAGUUAUGGCCCAAACAUUUUCAAGAAGCUAGAAUCAUCUAUGCAAGGUGAAGCAAGCUCUUUCUCAUAAGUCAUCAUGGAGGUUAAAGAAUAAUGUAGGUUUAUUUAGGCCUUGUAUUAGCCAUGUAGGGUAUGUUUGAUAAGGCUUGUAUUAAGGCCUAAGUAGCAUAGGAUUUUUCCUAAGUUAGAUAUCUAAAGCAAGUGUAAAGUGUGUCAUGCUUCCAUUGGAGAGGAUUUGCUUUUUAAAAGGUAACCACAUGGCACCCUAGGAGUGGAGAUGAUUUCUUUUUGGUAGUGGCUACAUUUCCUUCCACUAUUGGAGAGAAUUUACUUUUAGUAGUGGCCACAUGGCACUCUAAGGAUGGAGAGGAUUGUUUUGUGAGUGACCACAUGUCCUCCCAUCAUUGGAGAGGGUAGAAGGCCUGAAUUUUGGCCAUUGAGAGCAAAUCUUGGAGACACCCUUGGCCUAUAUAUAGAGGUGUCUCCAUCCUUGUAUUUCAUCUUGGAAAUUAGUAAUGUUAUGUUGCCAAGUUGUAGCCUCAUUCAGUAUUGAUCAAGGAAGAAUGAGCUACAAUUUGGUUGCAUUACAUUACUAAUUUCCAAGAUGAAAUACAAGGGUGGAGACAACUCUAUUUAUAGGCUAAGAGUGUCUCCUUCUAUUCGUGAAAGCAUGAUUUCCACCUUUGCUCUCAUUGGCCAAAAAUGAGGCCUUCUAACCUCUCCAAUUAUGGGAGGACAUGUGGCCACUCACAAAAUACAAUCUUUUCCAUUCUUAGAGUGUCAUGUGGCCACUACCAAAAAGAAAUUCUCUCCACUUCUAGGAUGCCAUGUACCUUUUAAAAAGCAAAUCCUCUCCAAUGGAAGCAUGACACACACUUUCCACUUGGUUUGGAUAUCUAACUUAGGAAAAUCCUAUGCUACUUAGGCCUUAAUCAAACUACAUGGUCAAAUACAAGGCCUAAAUAAACCUACAUUACUCUUCAUGAUGACCUAUGACAAAGAGUUUGCUUCACCUUGCAUAGAUGAUUCUAGCUUUUUCUUAAAAAUGCUUGGGCCAUGACUAGGGGUAUUCCAUCAUCCCCUCCCUCUUGAAAAUACUCUCCUUGAACCUUCAAACUACACACCAUCAUCAUCCUAUCACUAAAAUCCGUGAGUCUAUCACCACACAACCAUCAUUUGCACAUCAUAUCAGCCUUUUCCCAUCCAUUUCCGCAACCAUUUCUAUCAUAGGGACCAUUUCCUUGCUUCCUCCUAAGCUUUGGCCCAACCUAGCUCAAGGAGGUUGCCAUCAAGAAGAAAAUAAUGAAAUGACUAAUCUAAUAUGGUUGAUAUUAGGGGUGAACAAAAUUAACUGGAGAUGAACUGAACUAUUUUUUGUUCCAUCAAAUUACACUAAAUUAUAAUAUAAACUGAACUGCACUGUAACUAUACUAAUUUUGAUGUGAACUAGUUUAUAUAACAAGAAUUCAUACCAACCUUAAAUUUUCUGCUGCAUUCUUUUAGUUUUCCUUUUAUUUUUCAAUUUUUAACAAAUAUAAUUUUAGCUUUUAUCUGAAAUUAUUGAAUUCCAACAAAACAUGUUAAUAGAAAUAUCAUUCUUAGGUAUUACAGAGGAUAUAAUUCUUAAGACUAUAAAAUCAUAUUAGGGAACAAAACUAGCCCGAGAUUUUUAGAACUACUAUGGUUCCGUAUUAAAGGGAGAAUGUAUCUAUAUGCAUUGUUGUUCUCUUAUAUUAAGUUUGACUGUGAAGAGAGCUUAAAAGAGAUCAAAGAUUCAAUUUCAAAAAUUAGGAGUGCAAUUAAAUAUGUGAAAUCUUCUCCAACAAAUUUGCUAGAUUCAAGGUAUGUAUUGAGCAAGAAAAAAAUUUCUUAUAAAGAUAUUGUUUGUCUUAAUAUUGAAACUAGUUGGAAUUCAACUUAUUUAAUGUUAAAGACAAGCUUGAAGUACAAAGAUGUCUUGCUAGAUAUGCAAGAUAAGAAAUUUGGUAUGAGAUGGACAAAAGUAAUGGUAGUUUUUCAUUAGAAGAGGAUUUGAAUAUGCGAGGGUUGUUCUAUCAUUUUUUAAAAUGUUUUAUGACUCUACUAUAUGCAUUUCUAGUUCUUCUUAUGUCAUGUGUAUAUGAAUGAAGUGUUUGGAAUUGGUAGAAAGAUUCAACAAUAUUAUGAGAGUAGUGAUGUGAGCAUAAGAUUAAUGGCAAUGAAGACGAAGGGUAAGUAUGAAAAAUAUUGUGAAAUCCUAAUGGAAUUAAUAUCUUAUUAUUAAUUGUUGUUGACUUUAGUCCUGAGUAAGUUGGAUUUUGUUAAUUACUUCAUUGAAUAUAUAUUUGAAUCUAGUAUUUCCAGUGAAUUGAAAUCAAAAUUAUUAUUAUCUUUAAAAACACUUUAUAUCAAGGUGUUUGACAAGAGUUCUCAAAAUAGCCAAUAAGAAUCCCAACUAGAUGAUGAUUCUCAUGCAAUGAGUUUCUACCUAAGAACUAUAGGACAUAUAUUUGAUUAUAUAUCAGAGCUUGAUUAAUAUUUGAGAGAUGAUCCUGAAUCUUAUUCAAAGUCGUUUGAGCUUGAUACUUUACAUUUGUGGAAAGUAAACUAUCAUUCAAUACAAGAGGAAGGGUGGUUAGCCCUUAUUUGUACACAAGAUUGUUUGAAAGGAAAACCUUUCUCUAUAUUUUUUUUAUGAGGAUCCCAAAUAAGAUAAAUUUGAAAGGUGAAUUUAUAUAUUUUAAGCUUUCAAAAAUGAUAAAAUAUUUUAAGUUUUACUUUGUAAUAUUAUAUUCAAGAAUUAUAUUCUCAUUAACAUGUUUUUGUUGGAAUUCAAUAAUUUAAGAUAAAAGUUAAAAUUAUUGUUGUUAAAAAUUAAAAAUAAAAGGAAAGUUAGAAGAAUGUAGUGAGAAAUUUCAGGUUGGUCUGAAUUAUUAUUAUCCUAGUUCAAUUUAAAAUUGGUGCAGUUCAAUAGGAUUUGGGAAAACAAGAAAUAGACGAACUAUUUAUUGAUUCAGUACAAGUUUUAACAAUUCAAUUUAGUUAAUUUUGUCCACUCCUAGUCUCGGUUGUUAAUAAAUUACACAAUGUUAUUAGCUCACCUACAAUCCAUGAAGGAUUUUAAUAUUUACUAUAAGAUCUUUUUCAAAAGUAAUUUACCUGUCCCUUCAUGUGGAAUACAAAAGCUGAGACAACGGAAAAAGGAACACCCAAAAUAUAAUAAGAUCCUUGAUUGAUAAAUGCACCAAGUUUCUGCCAAGCACAUCCUCUGGCAACACCUCAAUGAACAGAAACAUAAAAAAAGAAACGGUUCAUAAGUUAACUGCACUCAAAAUAUAAAAAGUUCAGUUUAAACUGAACUGUAAAAUAAUAUAAUUAGUUUUUUGGUUAAAAAUAAUUUAGUUUUUUGGUUAAAAAUAAGAUAACUAUAGUUUACUACAAUUUGUUGAAUUAUGUCCAGCCCUAGUUGACAUACAUUGCGCUUCCUGUCUUAAAUAAAACUUUGAAGAUUGAUAUGAAUUUAUCUAGUAGGUGUGUUUGCCUACUGUAGUAGUUGAAUUUCUCAACUUUUCAUGGCAUCGGAAUCAUUUGUUUUCAGUGACGUGCUGGAGUCUGAUCUUUCCAAGGCUUAUGGCAGGAUGGAUAGACUCUAACAUGUUCUUUCCGUUUGAUCCAUGUUUAUUGAAGAAAAGUGAAAGGUUGGUUUUAUUCACCUGAAUUUAUCUGAUUUGAUCUUAACAGUUUCUCUAGUUAAUUAUUAUGCUUAUGCUACAUAAGACCACAUUUUGUUGGCUGGUCCAAAGUCAGAAGAACUACAUACGAUGAUGACAUUGACGAAGUAAGUGACAUUGGUAGUGAAGUAUCAGAUGAUGAUUUUGUUGGCAUGAAUACAGAAGAUUGAUGAUGAUAUGAUGGUCACUGUUGAAUAUCUUGAUUUCAACCCUCACCUCAUCAAAAAUGGCCAUCACAGUAGAGUUGGUUGGUAUUUGGGGUUGUUUUGCAAUUUUGGAGUUGAGUCCAAUUCAAUAAGGGAGUUACUUCAAAGGAAAAAAAAGAAGUUAGAAUUAUAACCGUUCUCUGAAAUAAUUCGUCACAGUAGAGCAUGGUAAAAAGAUAUGGAUUGGUAUAUAUAAUCAUUUUUGUAUAUAUCUAGUUGUUUUAAAGU